GACGAACGCUGGCGGCGUGCCUAAUACAUGCAAGUAGAACGCUGAAGGAGGAGCUUGCUCUUCUGGAUGAGUUGCGAACGGGUGAGUAACGCGUAGGUAACCUGCCUGGUAGCGGGGGAUAACUAUUGGAAACGAUAGCUAAUACCGCAUAACAGUAGAUGUUGCAUGACAUUUGCUUAAAAGGUGCAAUUGCAUCACUACCAGAUGGACCUGCGUUGUAUUAGCUAGUUGGUGGGGUAACGGCUCACCAAGGCGACGAUACAUAGCCGACCUGAGAGGGUGAUCGGCCACACUGGGACUGAGACACGGCCCAGACUCCUACGGGAGGCAGCAGUAGGGAAUCUUCGGCAAUGGACGGAAGUCUGACCGAGCAACGCCGCGUGAGGGAAGAAGGUUUUCGGAUCGUAAAGCUCUGUUGUAAGAGAAGAACGAGUGUGAGAGUGGAAAGUUCACACUGUGACGGUAUCUUACCAGAAAGGGACGGCUAACUACGUG
rnacentral:rRNA from 1 species